UACGGGGGGGGCUAGCGUUGUUCGGAAUUACUGGGCGUAAAGGGCGCGUAGGCGGUCUGCUAAGUUGGAUGUGAAAACUCUGGGCUUAACCCAGAGCCUGCAUUCAAUACUGACAGGCUAGAGUUCUGGAGGGGAUAGCGGAAUUCCUGGUGUAGCGGUGAAAUGCGUAGAUAUCCGAAGGAACAUCAGUGGCGAAGGCGGCGAUCUGGGAAGAUACUGACGCUGAGGUGCGAAAGCGUGGGGAGCAAACAGG
rnacentral:rRNA from 1 species